rnacentral:rRNA from 1 species
CCUACGGGAGGCAGCAGUGAGGAAUAUUGGUCAAUGGACGAGAGUCUGAACCAGCCAAGUAGCGUGAAGGAUGACUGCCCUAUGGGUUGUAAACUUCUUUUAUAUGGGAAUAAAAUGUUCCACGUGUGGGAUUUUGUAUGUACCAUAUGAAUAAGGAUCGGCUAACUCCGUGCCAGCAGCCGCGGUAAUACGGAGGAUCCGAGCGUUAUCCGGAUUUAUUGGGUUUAAAGGGAGCGUAGGUGGAUUGUUAAGUCAGUUGUGAAAUUUUGCGGCUCAACCGUAAAAUUGCAGUUGAGACUGGCAGUCUUGAGUACAGUAGAGGUGGGCGGAAUUCGUGGUGUAGCGGUGAAAUGCUUAGAUAUCACGAAGAACUCCGAUUGCGAAGGCAGCAUACCGGCGCUCAACUGACGCUGAGGCACGAAAGCGUGGGGAUCGAACAGGAUUAGAUACCCUGGUAGUC